CAGCCGCCGCGGUAAUACGUAGGUCCCGAGCGUUGUCCGGAUUUAUUGGGCGUAAAGCGAGCGCAGGCGGUUUGAUAAGUCUGGAGUUAAAGGCUGUGGCUCAACCAUAGUUCGCUUUGGAAACUGUCAAACUUGAGUGCAGAAGGGGAGAGUGGAAUUCCAUGUGUAGCGGUGAAAUGCGUAGAUAUAUGGAGGAACACCGGUGGCGAAAGCGGCUCUCUGGUCUGUAACUGACGCUGAGGCUCGAAAGCGUGGGGAGCGAACAGGAUUAGAUACCCGGGUAGUCCCUGUCUCUUAUACA
rnacentral:rRNA from 1 species